GGGCAUUGAUGAAUGAGCAUAACAGGUCGUUCAUUGACUGGUUUCACAAUAAAGUAAUUGGUGAAUUGUCUACAAACAACCAUCAUGUACCUUAUACAAUUAAGUGGUUGGCAUACGGUCCACGUGACAAUUUUAAGUCAUAUGAAGGAUAUGAUAUCAAUGGUUAUACCUUUUACACUGAACGUCGGGAUAAGAAAUAUAAGAUGGUCCAGAAUUGUGAGGUUUCAACGGUUGCAUCAUCUAGGGAGUAUGCGAGUGCAAAGGAUAAAACUCCGAUUGAUGCUACACAAUCAUAUUAUGGGAUCAUUCAAGAAAUAUGGGAGCUCGAUUAUUGUGACUUCACUAUGCCUAUUUUUCGAUGCAAGUGGACGGAUAACAGACGUGGUUUACAAAGGGAUGUGUGCGGUUUUACUCUAGUCGAUAUGAGUCGUCUGCGUGACACCGAAGAACCUUUUAUGCUUGCAUCGUAAGCAAAACAAGUGUUCUAUGUAUCUGAUCCCGAAACACUCAGUGGUGCAUUGUUAUUAAUGGUAAAAGGUGAAUUUUAGGAGUAGGUGAUGUUGACGACGAAGAAGAAUAUGAUAAGUUUGAUGAUAUCCCCCCUUUCUCAAUCCCAAAUGAUGAUAUGAUGAAUGUGUCUGAUACUGAAAAUAGUUACAUGCGAAUGGAUCACCAAGAAGGUGUAACAGUCAUCGAACAACCUACUGACCAAAAUUAAAGGUAAAAAAUGUUCUAUAUGAGUAAUUUGACUUGUUUUGGAUUUUGUUACAAUAAAGUGAUGAUAUAUAUUGUUUUAAAUUUCGUUAACACUCUUUCUUGUUUCUAUGUAUAUGCUACAUAUAUGGCUAGUGACGAUUCGAGCGAUCAUUCAUCGGAGUCUGAUGCCCUUUUUCACCCAGAAAAGGAGGCUGACACUAGUAGAAUAAAUGCUAUUUGCUGCGGUGAUAUUGCUGCAGUUUUACCUAUACGCAGCAAUAUUUCACGCAAAAAGAAAAGAAAAAAUAGAAAAUAACAAUAUUGCUGCGGUUCCCGCCCAAAACCGCAGCAAUAUUGUUCAACGGAUACAUUUUGAAAAAAAUGUGGGGCCUGGAGAGACUAAUAUUACUGCGGUUUUGGUCUGAAAUCGCAGCAAUAUGGAAUCAAUAGGAAUUUUUUUGAAAAAAAGUUGACUAUUUGACCAGAAAUAUUGCUGCGGUUUUUAUCAAACACCGCAGCAAUAUCAUUAAAAAAUAGUAAAAACAGAAGUAUAUAUAAAACAUGCAGGUCACAAGUAGGGUUUUUAUUAGUGUUGCAUCUCCUCUAACCCUCAGCGUCCUCUCGCCUCUCCUCACUCCUCUCACCUCUCUCCUCACCUCUCCGGCCAUUUCUCUCAACCUCUCCUCUCUCCUCUCAAACCCUCACUCUCUCUCGCUCUAGAUCUACUCGUCGCCACCCUCCUCGAUUUGUUCGUUCACUCUCGCAACAAAUCCACCCUCUCGCUCUAGUUCGUUCACUCUCCUUGUCGGUCCAGUUCGUUCACUCUCCUCGUCGCUCCAGUUCGCAACAAACCACUUGAUGUUCAAUAUGAUUUGUUCGUCCACCCUCGAUUUGUUCGUCUUCUUUCUCAACGAGUUCAGAUUUGGGUCGCUCUCGGUUGGUUAGUUGCCGGCGACAACUCUUCGUUCGCAGCGAUUUUUUCGAACUGCACGCGCAUCGAAGUUUCGGUUGGUGGCCGGCGACAAGGACGACGUGCGGAUGGUGGCCGGCGGUUUAGAUUUUUUUUGUUUCAUUUAUUUUUUGGAUUUGUUUGAUUUUAACACUCUUUUUUUGUUUAUUAGGUUUCAUACUUUCUGUUUUUUAGCUUUCAUUCGUUUUUUGGAUUAUGUAUUUUUUUUUCCUUUUUCCGUUUCUUUCGUUAUUUUAGAUUUGUAGAAUUUUUAUUUUAGGAAUUUUUAAUAUUUUUUUCGUUUUUUUCUUUUAGUAAUAGUCAUUGUAAUUAAAAUUUAAGUUGCCAUAAGAUCUAAUAAACAAAUUUAUUUUCAGCCUUCAUUUUGAGAUGUUGUGCACAUUGAACUUGUGUCAAUUCAUAUGCGAAUUUUGUGGAUAAUGGAUUGGUUUGUUGUAUGAUUUUAAUUUUUCAUAUGUGAUUGCAAAAUGCCAAAAAAAAAAAAAAUUUUUUUUUGGUUACCAAGACCUAUUGCUGCGGUUUUGGGCCAAAACCGCAGCAAUAGUUAGACAUAUUGCUGCGGUUUUGGCCCAAAACCGCAACAAUACUCUCUGUUAAAUAUGUAAUACAUAAAAAUAUUGUUGCGGUUUGGCCUAAAAACCGCAGCAAUAUUUGUAGAUAUUAUUGCGGUUUAAAACCGCAACAAUAUUAUUAAAACCUAUUGCUGCCCCCUUAAUUGCUGCGCGCCCAAAACCGCAGCAAUAUGACACUUUUUAACCGCAACAAAUAGCAUUUAUUCUACUAGUGUGACCAGGGAGAGGACAGUGAUCGUGCCGCAGAUGUGUUAGAUGCAUGGAUGGAGAGAUUUGAGCUAGAGGCUGAUAGGAAUGCUUUACUUAGCAUUGAGGUGACAGGUGAUGGGCAGCCAACCCCUUGAGAUCCACAUAAGACCACUACAUAUUAUGGUGCACAAGGGAGCGGGAAGAAGUCAAGUGGGAAUCCAAAGGCAUCUAGAAAGAGUAAACGAGGUCCCACGAUGAAUCUCCACAACAUAGGAGAUAUGGUCUUAGAGUUUGAUGAUUUGGGAAGACCAACAGGUCAAUGGCGAGCCAAGGAUGGUAUUUGGAUCGGUUUUUCUAUACGGAAGUUGAACAUCAAUUGGUAAUGGAGACACAUUUUGGGCCAUUUUCUUUCCAAAUGAAUUAAUAUGAAUUGUUUCACGCUAGUUUAAGUUGUAAACACCUCUAACAUAUCAUAUAUACUUAGUUUAAUGUAUUUAUUGGUAGAUUUGAUUGGUAAUACAAUAUAUAGACAAGUUGGAACCAAAAUAAGCCCUUUUAGCCUAUUUUGAAAAACAGAACAUGUUUCACAUUCCCGGCUUGGUUCCAUACA